UUUAGAAAGCUGUAUUGUACAUAAAGUAUAUAAACAAGGAUGACCUCAUAUAUUUCAUUAUUUGCUGUCGACAAAGAUAAAUACUGAUCUCCGAGGACCUGUGUUUUAAUGCAUAAAUUUUACCGACAAUGCAACGCAAGUCAGUCAAUAACUUUGCAUGAUACAACAUUAAGGAAACAUGUAGCAACACACUGCAUUCAAUUUGAUCUGAAUGUUACUGAUGUUUCGGAUAUUGCCAUAUUUAUGAGUUAUGUUGAUGAAAAUACAUGGAGAUAUUUAGAACCAUAGCAAGCUGAGAUAUAUUGUAAAUGUUUCCAUUAUUUAGAAACUGUGUCACAAGGAAAUGCAUAGAUUAUGGAUAAUAAAUAUGCAUCGGACAAUGACUCUGAAAUAGAAAAUAACUUAUUCAAUUUGGUAACAAUAAUACUGAUGAAUCAAGUAAUAUUAUAUUUGCUUAAAUCAUUAUAUGUUUCAUUGUGUGAGAUACCAAAGCAUUUCAAAAAUUUGACAAGCAAACGUAUGAAUAAGGUAACCGGAAAUGGUAAACGGAAAUGUAGUAAAUCUUCUUAUGGAAAAACGAAAAAGAUACAAUGGACAGAAGAUGAGAAAAAAGCAGCACUUUCUGCAUUUGCACAACAUAUGGGAAAUCAUACACUGUCGUCUCUAAAAAAGAUCUAAGAAAUAAAGAAAAAAUAUAUUUCUUUGGCUCGUACAUUGCCGCAAAUCAAUACGUGGUAGAAUAAAAAAACCCUGCAACAACAAUAGUUUUAAUUGCCUCAUUCUAGUAGGACCUUGUGAAGGCGUUCAACUCAAGAUUAACGUUGCACACACCUAGAUCAUCAGAUACACUGAAUAUCUUCAAUAGAAUCAGAGAACCUGAAUACUGCUGUGCUUAGCAAUGAGAAGUGGAUAUAAUGUUUGACGGAACAGAUUCAGUACAAAAUGAAAUUUAUAAAGUGAUAUGUUCCCGAAGAUGUAUCUUAUUAAACAUCUCAUAGGUUUCCAUAUAUAUGAAGCGACAGAAAAUUUAUAAUUCACGUAAUUACAUUUUACAGAUUUUCUGUCACUUCAUACGCAUCAUGUGUGAAUCAAAAAGUACCACAUAGUUAAGUUAAAUAUACGUAUCUCUCCGUUUCUCUUUCUCAAUCUCUCUCAUUUACCAGCAUUUGAUGUAACAUCGGUCAUUUCCUUAUUACAACCUUUGUUUGGCACAGAUUCAUUAUUGUUUCUAUCGUUUCCAUCUACAGAUAUGUGAGAUUUACCUGUAUUUAAUGAAACAUCAAUUUUUUUAGUGUUAUACUCCUUGUUUAGUAUCACAGACUCAUUGCCUUUGUUUUUAUCAAUAAGUUUUAUAGAAUUAAUAUCCGUGAGAGUAAAAAUACAUGAAUAUCGCAUACAUAUGAUAAAAUAUAAGUAUUAC
rnacentral:lncRNA from 1 species